GUAGUUAAUUCUUAUUACCUACAAGGGAAGAAAGUGUUUAUAUCUUUCUACAUCGGAACUGGAAACAACAAACCUAUCUUACCUAAGCCACUGAUAUUUGUGUUUUCAUUAUACACAACCAAGCUUAAUUCUUGGUUCAUGAUAUAGAAAAGUCAAUCACAACUAGUACUGAAGGUGUCCAGACAGCAGGGGCUUUCAAGGACACAGACACCAUCUCCCUGGAAUUGUCCCACAUGUCUGCAAGCAGGUGCUGGCCAGCACAAGGCUCAAAAAUUGAAUUUGAAAUUAUUUGUACUGAGUCCAAGGUCUCUAGUGUGUUGGCAAUACCCUACCCCUCCUAUUAUUAUUUAUCCACUUACUUCCUAUAUUUUUCUUCUGGCCCUUAUUGGCAUUUGAGUUUGAGGGCCCUGAUACUCAAUGAACACUGAGAAAUGCCAAGAAUUUCCCCUGGCAAUCAUGCCUACUCUGCACUAAAAUACAUACGUGAGGGUAUUUUCUCUGCUUUCCAUGCAGAUAUUUUGCACCUCAAGGCAAAGUUCCCAUUUUCUUGCAACUCAGUUUCUACAAAUACAUCAGUUCCUAUUAAAAUCAGAUGAUACCAUUCAGUAACCAGAGCUACUCUGUCUACCUAACCCAGCAGGUAAACCCAUAGCUGACCUUUAGAGUUGGAAGAGUGCUCAGAACAGCAUGAAGUGUCUCACAGAUCUAGGCUCUAACUUCAUUCUCUUCCUCAAAGUCAUGAAUGUUGUCUAGCUCAUGGGCACCUCUCCUGCCCCUGGCACCACAAGAGAAACCUUGAGGCCUCGUCUGCCUGCAACAAUGUCUUCCAUGAAGACUCAAAUGUCUUCUGCUCUCCACUAGCAGGAGGGGCCACCGAGGCCACUGGGGAGGGUGGUAGCCUUUAGCAUCUUUGUGCAGAGCCAGUCUCAGGGGACGGAGCCUCAGGACUGCACAGAGGGAGUAUGUGAGCUGUUCAGGAGGGCCUGAAGAACACAAAGAAAAGAACAGCUAUGCCUGCAGAGGUCAGUCCCCAAUCCUAACUCCACCUCACCCCAUCAAAACCCAAACAACAGCUCAUCAGGAAACACAACCUGCCCUCACGCUGAUGCGAAAAUGGGGUUUUUAUGCACAUUAGAGACCACCAAGCAUAAACCAAAUUAAGCCAUCCAUCUCUUCUUUGCUUGUGUCACAGAAGGAGAGGGUAGUCUGCAGAGGAAGAACAUAUGAAAUAGCACAAUUUCUUCGCUUUCUUAAAUUUUUUAUUUUGAAACUAUCAUAGAUUCACAUGCAACUGUAGGAAAUAAUACAGAAAGCUCAUAUGUCCUUCACCCAGCUCCCCCUGGUAACAGUUUACAAAACAACAGCACAAUAUCCUCAGCAGGAGAGGGGUGUGGAGGUCUCUGGGUAGUAUCCGGCCUCAGCCACAAAGUCGCCUUAACACAAUCCAUCCACUUUAUUUACACUUCACCGCUUUUACAUUCACUGAGGGGUGUGUGUGUGUGUGUGGUUCUCUGCAAUUUUAUCACAUGUGUAGAUUUGUGCACUCUCCCCCAGUCAAGAGACACAACAGUCCUAUCACAGGAUGCCUCAUGUUAUCUAACAGUCAUGGCCACCUCACUCCCUAUCCAUAUCCAUAAUCUCUAGCAACUACUAAUCUAUUCUCCAUCACAGCCAGAAUGGUGUCAGACAAGGCUGACAGGGAGCCCAGGAUUUUCAUCCACACCUAGUAAUGAGAAGCAUGCCCUAUCACUUGCAGUGCCAGAGGAAGCCACGUGGAGAUUCUUCCAAAAGAGCAACCACCAUACAUCUGAUUCAAAUACACUUACAAGCACUAUAAGCCAAAAUGGAAUUAUAAAAUAUAUUCAAGCAACUCACAGGAAGGCAGGAAAAAGAAAACAGGGAAAAAAACAAAACAGAGAACAAAAAGAAAGUCAAAGAGAAAAUGGCAGGCUUAGCCCUAACAUAUAAAUACUGACAAUAAAUGUAAAUAGUCUAAAUACACCUACUAAAAGACCGAGAUUGGUAGAAUGGAUUAGAAAACAUAACUCAGUAAUAUGCCAUCUGCAUGAAAUUCACUUCAUAUAACAGAAGAGGUAGGCUAAGCAUAAAAGAAUGGAAAAAGAUAUGCCAUGUAAACAGCAGUCAAAAGAAGAAUGGCUACAUUUAUAUCAAAUAAAGUAGAUUUCAGAGCAAAGAAAAUUUCUCAAGAGAUAUAUACAACAUUUAGAUAUUAUCUAAGUGUUCCUAAAAUAUCCCGAGCAAUUCCAGGUUCUUUCUCAAAGCCAACUCCAUGAUAAUGCUACUUGGGUAUUUCCUCUAACUGCCCAACUGAAAUUUUGUAAUGGUGAUGUAAGGGAUUAAGCUUACUUGCUCUUCUCCCCUAAAUGGAAGUAUGUGAGCACCCAGUGCACAGAAGCAGCUCUUUGAGGAAAAAGGGCUGGCAGCAGAUUUGUCUCACCAAGAACUCCAGCCAGACUCCAGCUAAGUGAAGAAGCAAGACACGGGGUGAAAGGGAGUGCCCCUCUAGGCUCCCCCCAGCCCCCCGGGGGUCAUACAUUGAGAGAUGUUGGUCUCAGGUGCACCAAGAUAGGGGGCAGAGGGAAGUGGGGAGGGUUUAGUUAAGACUUGAGAAUAAACAGAGGUUUCCCCAAAUCUGUCACAAGCUCCUCCAUCAGCUCUGGUCAUACUGGGGCAGCCUGUUGGGAGUGCCCGGCACAGGGAGAGACCAGACUGUUCUCAAAAAAAAAAAAAAAAAAAAAAAAAGAGUUCCCGUAGUGGCAUAGCGGAAACGAAUCCCACUAGGAACCAUGAGGUUGUGGGUUCAAUCCCUGGCCUCACCCAGUGGGUUAAGGAUCCGGUGUUGCCAUGCACUGUGGUGUAGGUUGUGGACAAGGCUUGGAUCCCACAUUGCUACGGCUAUGGUGUAGGCCGGCAGCUACAGCUCCGAUUGGACCCCUAGCAUGGGAACCUCCAUAUGCCACGGGUAUGGCUCUAAAAAGCAAAAACAAACAAACAAACAAACAAAAAAAAAAACCCCAAGUCUCCAAGUCUUGCCAAAGCACCUGGCUUAUCCCACCUAUGUGCUGUAAGGAAUGAAUUUACAGUAUUGUAGUGGGUUCCUAGCCACAUUCCAGAGUGAGAUGUUACUCAGCUUUAAGGCAAAGGAAUAAAUUUUACCCUCCUGGUCUGAGCUGUGGCUUCUACCUUUGUUCUGCAUCUUUAUUCAAAGUCAUUAAGACAUCUGUCCCUGCUGGGAAUGGUACAUCCAUGCACUGCUAUGUGGUUCACAAAGGUAUCUUCAUGGUUAUUAUAGUCCUGUACCCUCAGAAUCACAGGCAUUACCAAACCCAUACAGAGCUACUCAGACUAGUCAGGACGGCUUGUCUCUAGGACCCCCUACCCCUUUUCACUCUUGGAAAAAUGGCAAGUCCCAAGGGCUCUGUUUCCAUUCACCCUCUGAUGCACCUAUGGGAGGGCGUGGUUUUUUCCUCUGUUGCUGAUGGUGUAACCCUAACAAAGGCUUCCUCUAUUUCCAGUAAUCAAAUACGACCUGGCCGGCCAAGAACAUGGUGGGGAUGUGCUCACAACCCCUGACAGUACGUCUCAGGAAAGUUGGCUGCCUUCUCAACAUGCGGCAGGAGCAAUAACCUCUAUCUAACACGAAUGCUGGCAUCCAUUCCACAAGCAACUGUUAAGAGUCCCUACUGUGCUCUCCAAUCAGCCAGGCAAGAGUCAUCCUCCUGACCUCUGGAUUCACAGCAGCGAACCCCCAGGGGGAAGAACGCCCAACAUCCUACUGCCCACACCCACACCCACACCCACAGGGAAAGCCAGGUGCAUUCACAGCUCACACCCUAUCAAUGAUCAGGGAGUGGGGGAACCCACAGACACCUUCCCAGGAUCAACAGCCACAGACAGUCCAGCUGCUUUAAGAAAGAAGGGAACAGAGAGGUUGGUACCAUCACCACCACCACCAUUGCCACCACACAGAGAAAGAAGCGCAUUUCCAACCCAGGAGGAGUGAAGAUGGAAGUGACAGCUUAAGUGACAGACCAAGAUAGUGUCUUCCCCCUUCAAGUUAGGAGAGCAGACAUCAGGGAGGGAGGGUACAGUUCACCAGAAUGAUCAUAAAAAGCCAUCACUGCCCUGCUUAACACCUAAGUCACUGAGAGGUAAUGUUUUAAAGGAAAAGCAUGAAAGCAUCUUUGACUUAGGCCUGCAUAGACACAGCCUGAUGAAGAAAAAGAAGAAAACAGUUCUUGUCAAGCCCCUCAUCACCCCACCACCCUGGAAUCCCCUGCUAGUGGUUCUUGGAUCUAAAUCCGAAGAGCACAGAGACCCUGGCCAGGCCCAGGGUGUGUGCUCUCUACACGGCACCCUUAAUUUUUUUUAAUUUGUUGCCAUUGUUUAAAAUUUGGAAGAUUUCACAUAAAGAAAUCUGGAUUUCUGGCUUCCUUUGAAAUAUCACAAGACAUAGACCCCCUAUGAAUCCACUGCCUAAGCCAACAUGUGGAACUGGGGUGGGUGACAGCCGCUCCCCUUGGAGCCCUCUCGCCUCCAGGUCUGCGCUGGCUUCACCGUGGUGGUGCUGACUAGUCCCAGAAGACACCUAUUAUGGAGUCGAGGCAAGUGACAAUGCCAAAUAGAGACUUGAUAAAGAAGCUCCUGCUCCCCUCUCCCUUCACCACCUCCACCCCCCAAAAAAUUGCCCUCCAAGAGUCUUAUCUCAUUGGAGAAGACUUAUCUGGUACAAAAUCUGAGGAAUGUGGAAGGAGGAACUCAGCCAACAAGCUGAAAGGCAGCCCUGGUUUCAGUGAUAACCCUCAGUGUGCUAGAACUAGAGAUGGAGACCACAGAGCCAACCUGAGUUGGAACAGCAUCUAGGAGGGAGAAGGGAAGAUGCUGCCCCUCCUCCACCCUGUCUUCCUCAGCUCUGGACCCCACAGGGCACUUCCCAUGAGACAUCUAUCAGAGGGAACCAAGGCAGAACAUGUGGCUUACUCCACACUAAAGCUUGGCAACCAGGUCAGCACUGGAAAGAAUUCUUCGCAAGGGACCUGGCCUCUGCCUUGUAGUGCGUGUGUGUGGUCUUGAGCUAGACCCUGGUGCUUUCAGGGCUACUGUUUUCUCAUUUAUCAACAAAGGGCUUAGGACUUCCCUGGGAGUUCCCACUGUGGCACAGCAGAAAUGAACCCGACUAGUAUACAGAAGGAUGUGGGUUCCAUCCCUGGCCUUGCUCAGUGGGUCAAAGGAUCCAGCAUUGCUGUGAGCUGCAGUGUAGACUGCAGAUGUGGCUCGGAUCCCAAGUUGCUAUAGCUGUGGUGUAGGCUGGCAGAUGUAGCUCCGAUUCAAUCCCUAGCCUGGGAACUUCCAUAUAUUGCAGGCACAGCCCUAAAAAGCAAAAAA
rnacentral:lncRNA from 1 species